rnacentral:lncRNA from 1 species
CCAAAUCAUUUUUUUGGGUUGUUUUUUGAACCAUAUCAUAAAGUAACAACUAAUAGUGUAAUAAAUAAAAUUUGUAAUGAAAAAAUAAAGGUUUAAUUUUUUGCUAAAAUUUUUGUACCCACGAGCCACCUUAACUAUCAUUUGUUAACAUUUGUGUAAUUUCAUUAGCAGUCUUUCUUGAGAAAUAAAUGUAUAGAAAAAUAAUAUUCUUAUUUUAUGUAGAUACGCAAUCAGUAAUACAUUUGUUGUUAUACUUCUGUUCAUACAACUAAACCACAGUCAGAAUAUUUCCUAAUAGUCGCGCAUUAAAGAUUCCUGAUUAUAUUUUCCUGACGAUCCAACGUGAUUUUUUUUUACUUUUCUUACAUGUAAUUAUCAAAAUUGGGACAAAUUCAGAACAUGUUAAAACAAAAUGUACGACAAUAAUGAACCCGGAAGAAAAUGAGAAGCAACAGUG